rnacentral:rRNA from 1 species
UGGGGAAUAUUGCGCAAUGGGGGGAACCCUGACGCAGCAACGCCGCGUGAGUGAGGAAGGCCUUCGGGUCGUAAAGCUCUGUCAUUAGGGACGAAUUAAGUGACGGUACCUAAGGAGGAAGCCCCGGCUAACUACGUGCCAGCAGCCGCGGUAAUACGUAGGGGGCGAGCGUUGUCCGGAAUUACUGGGCGUAAAGGGCGUGUAGGCGGCUAAUUAAGUCAGAUGUGAAAGGCCCCGGCUUAACCGGGGUAUUGCAUUUGAAACUGGUUAGCUUGAGUGCAGGAGAGGAAAGUGGAAUUCCUAGUGUAGCGGUGAAAUGCGUAGAUAUUAGGAGGAACACCAGUGGCGAAGGCGACUUUCUGGACUGUAACUGACGCUGAGGCGCGAAAGCGUGGGUAGCGAACAGG